UAGCUAAUGACGCAAGUUCCAAGUAUUCUGUACUUCCCAAUGCUGAGAUAAGAGCAAAUUAGUGAAGAUCGCUCAAAAGGUUAACAGUCUUUCUAGGACAGAAUUUUGGUACAACUUUCUAUUAAAAAUGUACCAUCUACAAUGCUUCGUGAUGCAUGUUGCACAUGGCUAGAAAGCUUAUUGGUCUACUUUCACAACCAAUAAACGACUCUUCAUUUCAAAUUUCCAAUAAGGAGUUAUGGCUAGAUUAGUGGGGACUAUUUUGGAGGCCAAUAGUCAUGCGAGACCACUUUGAGAAUCCAUCUCGUGGUGGCCUUUCACAUUGCCUACCUUCAGAAACUCCAUUUCAUUUUCGCACCUAACUGGGAGGAUUGUUCCUAGUAUAAAUAUCCCUUGCCAUUUGAUAAACUACAUGAUAUUGCAGCCGAACUGCCGAGUGUCUUACUCAAACCUUUGUUCUUCCUUGUUUUUCUUCGACUUUUGAAGCAAUCCCUCUGGAUUCUCCUAGUUCAUGCUCUACAAUUUCUAGUACGGCUGCACCGUUUUGUGUGGAUUAGUUCUGAAUUAUGGUUUUACGGUCAUUCAGGGAUCAUGUAGAAGUCUUUGCGGUUUCAAUGCCUCUCUUCCCAUAGCUUAGUCACAUCCAACUUUUAUUAGGUAUGAAGCUAGUUAUCCUUCUAUUCACAACAAGUUAUCUUCAAUUCUUCAACCUACUAUCACGAAGAUCGUGUCAUCCUAUUGCCAAUUCAUAUUGGUACUUAUCAUCUAGUAAAAGCAUUUGUCGUCACAUUAGGUCUCACCAUCAUCCACAUAUUUAUCUUUGAUUUAGCCAUUGUUUUUUUACUAUUUUUGUUCAUCUCCUAAAGUCCAUUGAAAAAGCCACCAAAAAAUCCUAUAGCCUUUUGGCAAUACUGUUAUCCUUGUGUUGUUGUAUUUAUUAAGUUGCUAGUCACCAUCUUCACAUAUAUUGGUUGUGUUUCACUGGUUAUCCACACCCUUAUUACUAUAAAAAAUUCCAAGAAAAAUUAGAAAAAAAGAGAAGAAAGAAUAGAAAAAAAUAGAAAAAAGAGGAGAGAACAUAAGUUCAAGGGGUUGACGCAACUUGGUUACGAUAGUGUAGCCUCCCUUGAAUAGCCACCUAUAGCUCCACCAAAAUCUGAAACCGCAACACUCGACUCGUAAUCCUUGUGACCUCUCAAUCACAUCUGUGAAAUUGCUACACUACCACACUCAUUUUCCUUGAGAACAAGCAAGAGCAUUGGUAAGUAAGAGGUGAGGUUGUGAGAUUCUACAAAUUUACCUAUUCUACUUUUCUUGCAUAAGUGCUAACAUGGCAGGACCUAAUUUGAGUGUUUGUGGUGGUCAACAUGGAAAAGAAGAACCACCAAUAUCACGAGUUGAGUCAUGUCAAUUUGAAAACUCGUUGUUGCAUGCCAUGGAGAGGAUGUUCAAUGAACAUCUUCCUCCAGCGGGCCAUUGACCUCCACAACAACAUAGCCCAAAGGUCCUAAUAUGGCUAGAGGGGGGUGAAUAGCCUAUUUAAAAAUUCUACAAGACACUAGAGCAAAGGAUUAGUAUAACAAAAGGCGUAAAGCAAUUUUGCUCUAGCUCUACAAAAGUUGCAAGCCACCUAUUCAAUAAUUCUAGUUACUAUGAUCACUAAGCACAAGUAAUCGGCUAAGUCACUACUCUCUACAACUAGUUACAACUAGCUAAAACUAGGUACUACUAGUUACAACUAGUUUACAAGAAAGUAAAGAGAUGAGUGAUAAUUAUACCGACGUGUAGAGGAUGAACCAAUCACAAUGUAUAUCAAUAUAUUCACCGGAAGAAUGCCAAUCAUAAUAUUGACACCAAUAUUUUUCUUCCGAGGUUCACGUGCUUGCCGGCACGCUAGUCCCCGUUGUGUCGACCAACACUUGGUGGUUCGGCGGCUAAUAGGUGUUUCACAAACCUAGCCCAACAAAUGGGCGCCACAAGAACCUACCCAC
rnacentral:lncRNA from 1 species